rnacentral:lncRNA from 1 species
GCGGCGGCCGUGUCCCCCGCCAGCCCAACAUACAGACUCUGGACCGGCCAGCCAAGAAGGGCCCCGUGCAGCUCCUGCAGCAGUCGGAGAUCCGGAGGAAGAGCGACCUGCUCCGAACUCUCACCUCGGGCUCCCGGGAGUCCAACUCCAGCAAGAAAAAGGCAGUGAAAGAAAAGCUUUCUAUUGAGGAGGAGUUAGAGAAAUGUAUCCAGGAUUUCCUCAAAAUCAAAAUCCCAGACAGGUUUCCAGAAAGGAAACAUCCCUGGCAAUCUGAACUGCUGCGAAAGUAUCACCUAUAGGAUCAGGGCAGGGAAACACGUAACCCUGUUACCACUUAGAGCAAGAUUCUAAGCGAUCUGAAAAUAAUUCGUAAUAAUAAUAAUUUGUUAGGUCACAAAAAAAAAAUCCAUCUCUAUAGUACUGCCUAAUUUGCCUAUUUCACUUUAACAUUUAUAGUCCUAGGGUAACAAUAUUUUUCCGGUUGUGGAAGCACAAUGACAAAUGCUUUUAUUUGUGGACUCUUACACAAGCUGAAUACCUGAAAGGCACAACACUAUCGACAACAGAAGCUACUCGAGCGCAGGAAGCGCUGUCUGAGGUGCCCUUCCUGCGAGGAGGUGACAGAUCCUGUCCUUGCAGCGAGCCCUGCAUAUGGUGCUCCACCGGGGCAGGGAGUUGGAUGCUACAGAAGCUGCACAAGCAUAUGGAAAGCAAAGCACUUCUGGAAGUUAAGUCUCAGAUGGUGCAGCAUGAUGCUGGUAGAAAGCAAUACGGCAGUUACAGCAUAUCCUACCAGACCAUUGCACUGGCCACCUACAGACGACAGCGUACUGCAAGGGACGCAGGCCAGGCGCUGUAACGCCUUCGCCAACAUCUCAGCGCUGCUUUAUACACUGUUUGGUGACAGCACGUCUCAGCCUUAGCACCUGCGAGGGGUCGCUGUGGGCUGUAAACUGUUACUGCAGCCCCCGGCGAGCCCCGGUCCACGCUGCCGGGCCCUUGCCUGCAGCCUCGGCGCUGGCGGAAAGGACAGAGCUGAAAACCUGCGCGGAAAUGGUUCUGCUGGAGUCGCACCAUGUUUUUAAACAAACCCGCGUCUGUCAGGCAGAAGGCGAGCGUGAGGCCGGCCACCGCGCGCCCACAUAAGCCAGGCGCCCGGCCGCCCGCCGCGCCUCCAAGGCACCGAACUAGAG